rnacentral:tRNA from 1 species
AGGACUGUGGCGCAAUUGGCAGAGCUUCGGAGUACCGAUUUGGAAGUGCGGGUUCAAAUCCCGCGGGACCUU